rnacentral:lncRNA from 1 species
GACGAGCUGAAGAGAAAAUGCCUCCUCUCCGUGGCAGGACAAUUUUCACAAAGAAAGGAGUUCGCGAUUCACAGGAAUGUGGACGGAGGUGGUUUGCUUGGUAGAAUGCUGACGUUCACAAAGCGAAGAAGUGCCCCGCUAUAAACCACCUCAGCACUACGGGAGUGGGAGUGUGAUACCACUGUUCUCCUCUGCCUGAAGUUCUGAACUUUUGGCUUUGUAGACAAUAGAUCUGGGAGACGAGCCCGCGAUACACCGCUGACCUUCUACACCAUUCGUAGCUUGGAUUUUCUAAGGAGCGAAAUCCGAAGGAAAUGGGGAAAACAAGACCUCUCUAAGGUAGACGAUUUGCGUCCUCAAACACUCGAGUCCGUCAGUAAAACGCCCUUGCACGAAAGGCAAAUGUGCUCCAUUUCGAUUCUGAACGUGGGAUAAGGCGAGGUAAAUGCUUGGUUUUCUCCAUUCAAUGGAGGCAGAGAUUCUUUACCCGUACAGCGAACUCUGGUGCUGUGCAGUUACGGACCGAAUGGGGAGUGGAGUUUACCUGCUGGAAACUCUGAGAGAAUGCUCUUGGUGUUUGUCUUGCAGAUUGCUCUCGUUAUUAUGAUGGAACAGUGCUCUCCCCAUUCUGGUAGUAAAGUGCUCUCGUUAUUCGGAUUCUAAAAUGACCUCGCUAUUCUUGUGGUGAGACUCUUUCGCCACUCUGAUUGUAAAUCAUGGGGAACUUCAACAGGCGACAAAUCUACGCGUUGUAUGUGUCGUAGGGACCUCAUCGUGUUCUCACACGAUACGAAAAUUUUUUAACCGAGAAGGUAAUGCAGUUCAAGGCCCCUGUAGCUCUACCCAGAAUGCUGAAGUUUAUCGGAAAAAGCAACAUAUGACCGCAGGUAGAAACAGAAUGCUGCACUGUCUGUGGUCACACAUGCCUCGUCUGUAAACGAGAGACUUGCGUAACAUGGCAUUCACAUUCGUUUCGUAGUUUGUCAAAGCGGUACGAGUCUCGCAGGAGAAAGGGUGUGAGAAACCACACAGCUUUGUCUCUUCACGCUUGCUCUAAGUCUUUGGUGAAGCAGUCGAGUUCUCAAAAGCAGUCUACCGCGGCAGAUCACUGGGUUCGCAAGGUAAAUUCGUGUUUCAGGGCUGCUCGCGUCGCAGUUCAUUCGAAUGUCACUUCUACCAUGACAGUGUAGCAGCCCUUGUCUGUCCUCGAUGUUGCAUUGGUGUUUUCCGUAGAUAUAUGAGAAUUUGAGAUUGCUACCCAACAGAGAUCGUUGCUUUCUGCCUCUAGGGGCAUUUCCGUUUGUGUACCUGUAGAUGUCUACAUAUGAAUGCUGCUUCGGUGAAAAAAAGUCCAAACAGCUGGUGACUGGAGAAAAUAGAAAGCGUCUCUGCCGCGGACAGCAACAAGUAUCACAAAGACAAGGACGCUUUCCCUACCUGUCAGCUGUCAACAACAACUUCAGAAGGCACAACAGCGUUGACUACAGACACGAAAGAGCAGCUGAGACGGCAAAUCUCAAGGAUUAGCACAGACGGUUUCGCUGCGACCAAGCACUUCCAAAAAUCCAGUGCCAAUACGCGUUCUCUUUUCUGAAGAUUCCAUUCCACUCCAACGUGCCUCCGCCACCGCGCCAAAUCGUAGAAGCAGUUCUCCUAACAGCAGCAGUCUGCUGAGCGCAUCAAGCCAUAUUCUUUCGGACACAAGUUGAAUUCCAUUUGUCUCUAACGAGAUCUCUGUCUAAGGAAGAACCAUGACCUUUAACAGUUCGUCUCGGAACUUGCAGAAGAAUUGCCGACACGCAAGAAUCGACGCCCAUUUCCCUGUUUCUCGUCGAGUGUAAAGUUUAAACUCAGUGCAAGUUAAUCUUCUGUUGUAUGUUGGUAUGACGGUUAGAAAACAUUCAUCGAUGAUGAUAUUUGUAUUUCAUUGACACGUUGAGGACACACAUACCAACAAACCAGCAAUAUAUUGUGACACCUGCAGGCUCCUUAAAAAAGCGAGGAGCUCCAUUGCGCCUUUCUCAGCGUCUAAACCUGAUUCUAGCCUCCUUGAGUGCUCUAGGGAGACAUGACUGUCUUUCGUCAGUCACUGUCAUUUAUCGCUAAUUCGUGCUUUCCCGAAGUGAAGGCACGG